UGGAGGGUUACAGCUCCGAAGCAAGAUGCAGCCAGAGGACACUAAUAUUCAAAUAUCCAUAAGUUUCGUUGGUGACAUGAGAAAGGGCGACGAACACUACAUUCAGUUCUUCAACAUAAUAAUGCGCAAAUGCCUUGAGUACUUGAAUCUGCAGCUUGCCGGGAGAAAUUACUUUGAUACUCAAAACCAGGUUGAAGUACAGCAAUACAGAUCGUCCCUGUGGCCUGGUUAUGAGACUUCAAUAUGUCAAAUGGAACGCGAUAUUCCGAUGUAUGCUGAGAUCACUCACAAAGUUAUGCGUCAGCAGACAUUGCUCGAUAUCCUCAAUGAUUGUUACAAUGAACAUGGCAACCAGUAAUCAGGAGAGAUGUAAGGCUCGAAGACGUUGAUUUUGACGUGUCCCCGAGAUCGAUAUUUUCGCACGCUGGCAUUAAAUUUCUUAUCUAGAAUAUUAUCUUAACAAAUAUCAGCUUCUCAUAAGACAAGAGUCACAGCCCAUGCUCUUGUUCAGAUCGAAGGCGCGCGAUUGCCGAACUGUCCUCUCUAAGCUUGUGUAUCUCGUACCGGAGCUCUGUUGAUCAACCGGUUUAACCGACGACAUGCGCCAGAAUUUUAGAAUGAUGCGAGAACUUGGGACACCCACACAAGACUGAAUUCAAACGGUCGAAUACAAAAACUACUCAGCUUCAACCGACGACUUCAAAAUGAGUGUUAUAAAAACGGUAGCCUGCGGCGUUAUCUGACUAAAAGCCCCCACAGUUCUCUUAUGAAACUUUGACGAACACCAGGACCAUUUCGAUUAAACAAAAAGCUGUAAUGAAAAAUAGAAAAAAUUAUUUCUGCAGUA
rnacentral:misc_RNA from 1 species